ensembl:antisense Gm13822 predicted gene 13822
AAAGGGGGGUGAAGAGAGAAGCUUGGGAGCAUGGCUCUAUGGGGGGGUCCCCUCCUUGGAGAUUUAUUGUCAUGCAUAGGCUGAUGACCAGCAGCUGACAGACAGAGGCAGCUGAGAGAGCCAGCUUUGUGGCCCAAGGCUGGCAUUGGAGUGGACCCUGAAUGAUGGCUCUUCUCUCCGACGCUCCAGCGAUCCUGAGAGUGAAGAAGUGGAGCAUGCUCGGAACUUGGUGGACUUGUGGAAGUCUGAGGAAACUCAGAUUCUUGGCCUCUCCAGUGUGAGGCAGCCAUGGCUGAACUACCUGGACCACACCCUAAGCCAAUCUAAUAAAUCCUCCUUUAAUAUC